GCAAACUUGGUCAUUUAGAGGAAGUAAAAGUCGUAACAAGGUCUCCGUAGGUGAACCUGCGGAGGGAUCAUUACAGAGCUCGUGCCCCCCGGGCAGACCUCCCACCCACUGUUAUCGCUACGAUCGUUGCUUUGGCGGGCCGCCGCGCCCGCCAGAGGCCCCAAAGACCCCGUGUCAUCAGCGUCGUCCGAGGGCUCGUGAAUAGUCAAAACUUUCAACAACGGAUCUCUUGGCUCUGGCAUCGAUGAAGAACGCAGC
rnacentral:misc_RNA from 1 species